rnacentral:rRNA from 1 species
GACGAACGCUGGCGGCGUGCUUAACACAUGCAAGUCGAACGGAAAGGCCCCCUUGUGGGGUACUCGAGUGGCGAACGGGUGAGUAACACGUGAGUAACCUACCCUUGACUUUGGGAUAACUUCAGGAAACUGGGGCUAAUACCGGAUAGGAGCUCCUGCUGCAUGGUGGGGGUUGGAAAGUUUUGGCGGUUGGGGAUGUACUCGCGGCUUAUCAGCUUGUUGGUGGGGUAGUGGCUCACCAAGGCUUUGACGGGUAGCCGGCCUGAGAGGGUGACCGGCCACAUUGGGACUGAGAUACGGCCCAGACUCCUACGGGAGGCAGCAGUGGGGAAUAUUGCACAAUGGGCGGAAGCCUGAUGCAGCAACGCCGCGUGCGGGAUGACGGCCUUCGGGUUGUAAACCGCUUUCGCCUGUGACGAAGCGUGAGUGACGGUAAUGGGUAAAGAAGCACCGGCUAACUACGUG